GCGAGCCGGGCGGGGCCCCGCCUCCUCUCGCGAGACUCCAGGCGCGCUCCAGGAUCGCCCCUUUCGAAACCCCGGCGGAGGGGGCGGGGUGCCCCCCCGGCGGUCUCCUGACGCGGGACCUGCGCCCUCCCCGGAGUCUAGCUACUCAAAUAAACCCGAAAUAGGGCUGUUAGGAGGGAUGAGUAGGCCUCCCCUCAGUCCUCCGCUGUGUGGGGCCCGGGACCCGCCCUCCCGAGGGCGGAGGGGAGAAGGGAGCAGAGCCGAGGGGACUCUGCCGAGGGUCGGGGCCCAGUGAGGACUUGGGUCCACGAUGUGCGAGAAGCCAAGGGCAAAACUCAGACAUGAUGAGAUAUGACUAGUCUCCAAGCUACCUGGGUUUAAAAGCAAUAAAGGAUACUGAUUUGUUCCUUAUAUUCCUGUAUUCAUAGAGGAAUUCCUAGGGAGCAAAGUA